CGGACGGGUGAGUAACGCCUAGGAAUCUGCCUGGUAGUGGGGGACAACGUUUCGAAAGGAACGCUAAUACCGCAUACGUCCUACGGGAGAAAGCAGGGGACCUUCGGGCCUUGCGCUAUCAGAUGAGCCUAGGUCGGAUUAGCUAGUUGGUGAGGUAAUGGCUCACCAAGGCGACGAUCCGUAACUGGUCUGAGAGGAUGAUCAGUCACACUGGAACUGAGACACGGUCCAG
rnacentral:rRNA from 1 species